UGGGCAGCCACGUUAAUUUUUCAACGCCUGU
rnacentral:piRNA from 1 species